CACGCCGUAAACGAUGUCUACUUGGAGGUUGUGGCCUUGAGCCGUGGCUUUCGGAGCUAACGCGUUAAGUAGACCGCCUGGGGAGUACGGUCGCAAGAUUAAAACUCAAAUGAAUUGACGGGGGCCCGCACAAGCGGUGGAGCAUGUGGUUUAAUUCGAUGCAACGCGAAGAACCUUACCUACUCUUGACAUCCAGAGAACUUUCCAGAGAUGGAUUGGUGCCUUCGGGAACUCUGAGACAGGUGC
rnacentral:rRNA from 1 species